rnacentral:misc_RNA from 1 species
UUUUUAAUUACAAUACAGUAUAAAUUAAGGAAGAUUUGGGAGCUUUUGCUAUUUCGUACCAAGAAGGUAGCCAGUCAGUGUUCUUCUGAUAAAUAAGAAACGGAAAGUAAUGUUACACCGGUUCAACGCAUGCGUUAUAAUCACAGUAUAAAAGGCGAACAACUUGAAAUUAGGAUCAAAUGUGUUUUGUGGAGUAAAUAAUUUUCCAUCCAAAGUCGACGAUGACUGGAGCUAAACGAGAUAUCAAGGAUUUUGAAUUCCAACAGCUGUGUAAAUUCCGUUUAUUCAAACCUAUUGCCGAUACCCAUAAGCAGAGAAAUUCUCUCUUGACUUGUUCAAACAAAUAUGGACUUUGUUUUGCAGGGUUUGGAAAUAAUUUGCUUGGUUUCAAAACUUCAGUACUUCUACGACUGGACGAAGAAAAUAUUGAACAAAGGAGCCAGAAUAUCGUUGAAAAUCUACCACUUCUCAAGAACUUUAGCCUCAGUGGGAAACUUCUAAAUGUAGCAAUUAGUUGUGAUGAUCUUGUUCUUGCUGUUGUUGUUGAGGCAGCUGCAAAUGUACUUUAUUUCUUUGAAACAAAAGCAUUCCUCAAUCCUGGAGAUAUCGGGCCAUUCCUAGUUCACAACAUGGAGCCUGGGAUCCAGGUGAAAGACUUUGCUUGGAAUCCUAAAAUGCCAGAGUUACUUGCAGUUUGCUUUUCAAAUGGCAAUGUUAAUAUGUUGAAGAUCGCUGCUGACAUAAAAGUGGUUGCUGAAGUGUCUAUUGGUGCUUCCUGUUUAUGCUGGAGUCCUAAAGGCAAACAGUUAGUUGUUGGAACUAAAACAGGUGAACUGAAACAGUAUCAACCCCAGUUGACAAUUACCAAAAAUUGGCCACCUCCAAACAACCUUGGUGAUGGUCAGCAUGAAGUCUUCGAUGUUGUCUGGGUUGCUACAUACAUGUUCAUUGCUGCAUACCAAAUUGCGGGUAGACAACAACCUGCAGUCCAAAUCGUGAAUGUCCCGAAAGCUGGAGAUCCUAGUUUUAUAAAUUUUAGAGACCCUUGUUUUGGCUCUGGAGAUCGAGACAAUAAAUAUAAUUUAGAACUUAUUAUUGGCUGGGACAUGGUUGUUUUGGCUUCAAGCAAUUCUUUAGAAGCUGCUAUUAUUGCCAGAAACUUAGAUACAGAAAAAUCUUGGGACCAUUGCAUGCUAGAAGAUAGUGCACGUGCUGAAGUUCCCUUAACAGCAGAGAAAUGUGAUAGUUUUCCUGUUGGGCUCGCAAUUGACUAUUCAAACCAAAAACGGAUAACCAUUAAUGAGGCAGAGAUAGGACCUUUCCCUGUGAUGAUGAUGCUGUCUACAGAUGGUGUUUUAGUCCCAUUCUUCAUGGUUUACAAACACAAGGCAGCUGUCAACAUAACUGCUCCAUGUGAAGCACUGAACCCGUCAGGAUUGCGUCCUCAAAUAUUUCUAGGUACUAAUGUCUUUGGAAAUUCGUCUGGCCCACCACUCAUGGGUCAGCAGCCUAACGUAGGGUCAACAUCAACUAGUGCUUCCACUGCAGGACAGGGCUUGAACCAGACCCAGUUUGGACAGUCAAAGCCAAGCCUAUUCGGUUUCACUGGGAGUUCUUCUACUACUACAACAUUUGGGCUGCAGCCACAGCAAUCUCAAGGUAUAUUACCAACACCUUCACCAGAAUUCAAAACUAGUUCAGGCCCAGAUGCAUCUGCCGUUAGCAGCACCAGUUCUGUAGCAGAAAUUAAACCUCUAGCUGGUACAUCAGCACCAAAUUCUUUCUCAUUUUCUGCUCAGCCAUUCAUGCAAGCCCCAGCUGCAGCUACAACAUCAGCUCCUGCUCCAACCUCAACUGUACCCAUGUUUAACCCAGCUUCCAAUAACACAAAACCUUUUUUUUGUUCAUUAGAAUCUAAUAAUGAGAAGCCAAUACUAUUUGGAGCAAGUACCCUUCCAGAAAAUAACAAACCUUCAUUAUUUGGGGCGGCAUCUUCAAACAUCGGAUCCAAUCAGCCUGAAUUUUCUGCGGCCACAACCAUCAGUUCACCUGGACAUGGUUUCGGUUUUGGAGCUAAAGCUACACCACCUCCGGCUACAACAGUUAACAAACCUGAUACUAGUGGUGUGUCAGCACAGCCCAAGCAACCAGCCAAGUUUGAAGUGUCAUUACCUGCACAAUCAACCACUCCUACAAAACCUCUUGUACCUCAGAACAAUGUAAUGAGGUCUGCUUCAGGUGCUCAAAAACCUGUUAAACGCAAUGAAUCUGGUGGCAUGGUUUCAAAUACUGAGGUAGAACGCAAGCCACAGACAAGCACUAGUGAAGCUCUUGACAGCACAUUUACAAAAAACAUAUUGGAAGAGAUCAACCACUUCCAGCAAGAAAUGAAUGAACUCAAAGUUCGAUCAAAGACUUGCUUCUCAACUGUUGGAACUGAAGACGAGAAACGCUUCCUGAAAGCCAAAACUGAGCAGAUGACUGGAUUCUGUAAAGAGAUCAAAAACAUUACUCAGAUUGUGCACAAAGAAAUUGAUGCAGAGAAAUUAUCUGUGUUUGAGAUGUUUGGUAUCCUGGAAGAAUGUCGCGUUAAGAACCGGUACCAUCGAGACGUCAACUAUCACAAAAUGCUGCGUUUACAGCCAUUAGAUCCUGCCAGUGUUGACAAAAUGAAUAUGCUACGACAACAGUUGAUGGCUGUCUCCAAUCGACUGACUGACAUUAAUACUGUCUUGGAUGAACAAUGGGAACUCUUCCAAAAACAGCGCUCAACAAAAAACAAAAAACCAUCUCUGAGUGGUAAUAUGCCCCUUCAAGAAAUCAACACUGCCAGUAAAUUUAGCCCUUCUGGCAGCAAUACCAUUUACCAAGUUAUCCGCAAAAACCACAAUAUUAUCAAUGAACAGAAGAAAGUUAUUGAAAAUGUACAGAACAAUUUGAAAGACCUACAUUUAUACGAUCAGAAAGAUGCUUGGAGCUACAAGAACCUUUCUCCUUACAAACUUGGUGAAAACAAGCUAUCCAGUUUGGCUGAUACUCUCCUUGAAAACAAGGCACAGCCAGAAGCAGAGACUCCACAAGUGACAGUCAUUUCUCCUUUAAAGCAGUCUCAACUACGAGAGCACUUAUCCAAGAGAGUGGUACCCCUUGUUAAAUCAGUCUCCCCAGAUACUAGUAUCACUCUUCCGACUCAGUCAGCGUCCAAGCCAGCUUCUGCAGUGGUCAAUGGACAAAAGCAGGGUUUUGGUUUGAAGCCAAGUACGUUAAUUGCUGAUGAUGAGAGCAGCCUAAUUGGACAGACCCGAUCAAUAAGCACAAGUACUCCACUGAAGCCUGAUACAAAGAGUGAGCGCUUUCCAUCUAUACAGAUUUCCAAUUAUGCCAGUAGCCUCAACCUAGAAGACAUCUCCUCAGCAGAAUCUGUGACAGGUGAUGACUGUCUUGGAGUAGAAGAGGAAGACGACGAGGAUGACGAUGAAGACGAAGAAGAAUGUGAAGAGGAAGAGGAGGAAGACGACGACGAAGAAGAGGAAGAGGAAGAGGAUGUAGAAGAAUAUUCAGCUCUUGACAUAGCAGAAGAGAAGCAAGCUGACGCAGCAACAACUGAAGAGUCUUCAAAAUCUGCUCAGAAAUUACCAACUGCUGCAAAUCCUCCCUAUGUAGUUGGUGUUGCUGACAAGCUUGGUGCAUCGUCCCCCUUUUUGGCAACUACAUCAACCAAGGUGAAUCAGUUUACAACAACACAAAUGACCAAAUCUCCACCUUUAGCCAAUACUAACAAGCCACAGUCACAAAUAUUCAAGCCCCCAGAACAAUCUUCAACUCUUGGAAGUCUUCUUGCCACCCCCAAAUCAUCUGAGGAAUCAACUAGCAAGGGCUUAUUUGGCAAUAGCACAGCAACAUUUUCAUUCUCUGGUUCAAAGUUUAAUACCAGUUCAGCUAAUGAUCCCUCAAAGCCACUUGCUCCAACUUCAAAACACUCAAUAUUUUCAUUUUCUCAAGAGAAUACUGGAAUUGGCACUGCAGUUGCUGCUACAGAUACUAAAAAUGCUCAGAAUAUUUUUUCAUUUGUUCCUUCUACAGUUGGCACCACCACUACUUCUACUGCUACUAAUGAAAUAGUUGCACCAAAUACGUCCAUUCCAAAUGCAGCUGCAACCACUAAGUUGAAGCCGAUACCUACAUCACAGUGUUUGAACAAUUUACAGAUGUUUAACGAAAACCCCUUGCAAGCUCCAACAGAGGGUUUCUCUUUUGGUGUAACCUCUACUGGAAUUGAAUCUACAGGUACAAGCUUGCCGCAACAACAGUCCCAUCAGACAACAACCUCCACUGCAGCUGUUUCUCCUGCUGCAGGUUUAUUUACAAUGCCCACCACAUCGAUUUUCAAGUCGUUCCCUCCUGCUGGCAGCACCACAUCUGAGGUUACUACUGACAAACAAAAUGCAGUAAUGCCUUCGGCAACUGAGGUAGUUUCUGCUGCACCUACUGCAGUAGCUACAGCACCAGCUGCACAAGCAGUACCUGCAACAACAUCAUUAACUUCAAAUGAAGUGCCUGUGUUCUCCGCCUUGAAUAACCUUCCAAAGCUGACUUCACUGAAAACUGAAGAGUCUUUGACUUUCCCGCCACCUUCAGGAUUGACUGCAAAAAGUGCAACUCUCUCUCCAGCUUUGUCCUCACUAACUUCACCAGUGGCUAAUGUAGUUAUCUCUGAUCCGACAACACUUGCUGCUUCAUCUCCUACCACUCCUAUUAUGACAACCACCACUACUAAUACUAUUUCAUUUACAGUUCCUUCUAUUGCAACUGCUGCUCCUACUACUACUUUCUCAGCUCUUGCUUCCACAUCUAUAACUGUUCCAACAGCAGCUACUUCUACUACAAUUACUGCUGCUCCUACUCCUCCUAGUACUUUGUUCGGUGCCUCGUCUGCUUCUACGACAGCUACAGCACCAUCUACGUUUUCCGUGUCAACCACAACUGCCUUUGCAGCUACCACAACUAAUAUGUUCACAAUGUGUUUUAACACUCCAGCCAGUACCAGUAAUCCCACCUCAGGUGUUGCUGUCUCAACAGUCUCAGGAAACAUGCCCUCUGGGAGCACUGCCAGUAUUUUUGCCAACGUUGCCAAUACACUUUUUGGUUUACCUGUACAGACAACAAACACUUCAACGCCAUCAACUGUUGCUGAACCAUUCAAAUCACCAACUACUCAAACUUCUAACCUGUUCACCCAAAGCACAUUUCCUACAUCAUCCACGAGUAACCCCUUACCCAAAGGACUGUUUUGUCAAGACUCUAGCAGCAGCAGCAGCACUGGACUAUUUGGUCAAGUUGCUAGCUUACCUGCAAAUACAGCAAUUGGUGGCUCUAGUAGUAUUGAUGAUUCAAAUGCCAGCAACACUGGAGCUGCCUUCAGUACAGCCAAGACACUGUUCUCUCAGUCUAAAACUGGGUCUGUGUUUGGGCAGGCUUCAGCAUCUCCUGCAGCUUCUACCAAGGCUACAGGUCUUUUUGGGCAGACGAGCACAACUCCAAUGACUGCAUUUAAUCAGUCAGUUUUUGGUUCAACAGACAAUACCUUCAAAACAAAUGCAUUUGUACAAUCAGCAGCUUCAACAGCAUCUGUUUUUGGACAGGCUCCUUCCAGUUCGUCAGUCUUUGGUCAACCUGCAACUACUGGCAGCAACAGUGUUAGUACUGGCAGCAUAUUUGGCAGCACCAACAACCAGUCGUCCACUGCAUCAGCCUCACUUGGUGGCAUGUCAGCAGGUCUGUUUUCAUCUGGAGCAUCCACACCCUUCUUCAGUGGUCUCGGUGGGAAGCCAAGUGAAGAGAAUGCUAACCAGAACAUCUUUGGCAAUACUAGUCAAGUGUUCAAUUCAGGAGCAACAACUCAGAAUGCAGCUAACUUGUUUGGUUCCCAGGCAAGUGCAUCAGGCUUCAAGAGCGUCUCUUUGGCUAGUUCUAAACUGAGCAGCACCUUUAGCUUUGGUUCAUCAAACACUGGCAGCAGUGUGGCCAGUUCUGGCUUUAGUAUCAGCCAACAACAGCAGGCAAAUCAACCCCAGCAGCAAGCCAGUGCCUUUGGUGGAUCUCCAAGCUUCAGUUCAUCAACAUCUUUUGGUGGAGCUCCAGCUUUUGGAAAUAAGCCUGCUUUUGGAGGAAGUGCUUCAUUUACUGGCAGUACUUUUGGAAGCGGUGCUUCACAGCUAUUUUCUUCUUCCUUCAACAGUGGCUCAGCAGGUGUUUUUGGACAGCAGUCUUCUAACGCCUCUCCAGGUUUUGCUAAUUUUGCACAGAGCAGCAGUCCAACGUUUGGCAGUUUAGCACAGACUUCUCCAGUCCAAGGUUUCAAUGAAGCAGCUAAUGCUCCGAAUACUGGUUUCAGUGGAUUUGGUUCAGGUUCUGCAUUUGGAGGCGGAAGUACCGGAGGUUUUGGUUCUGCACCAACAUUUGGAGGCAUGCAACACUUCACUACUUGUUGAACUGGCAAAGAUGGACAUGAUUUGCAUGAUAUCAUUGGAGAAUCUUAGAAGGCAAUCUGCUUCUUUCACUGAUUAUCGAUCCUGAAUGGUUGGAAGCAAAGAAACCAUUUAAAAGACUUAGUUUAUCACCAUUUUGCUGGUUCUUUGACAAAAGAAAAUUCUUCCAGACAAACACAUUCUUUUACAUGUAUAUAUAUAUAUAUAUAUAUGUAUGUAUGUGUGUCUCUCUCUCAUACCAUUUAACAUACCUGUCGUGUACUACCUACAGCCAAAUCCUCCAUCAGUCACAUUUAAAUUCCUGUGUCUAAUUAGCUUUGUUAUAUUAAAAUACCUUUUGCUUGGUUUUCCUUUCUUCUCUCAAACAGACCUUUAUGAUGAUAAUGACGGUGGUAGUGUUUGUGCUCUGGUGUUGUAUAGGCAGUUGGAUGAAGAUGAGUAAAGAAACAGUUAAAUGACAAAACAAUGCAGGACAAAGAGAUGGAUUUCUCUCCAUUUAUUAUUUCUAGGAAUUGAAUUGGACACAUAACAGAACAUUAUGAACUGGUUUCUGCAUUACCAUUUUUUUUGUACUUUUGUUGUUGUUUUGUUGAUUUAUUUUGUACAUAAUUUUUUUCGUUUUAAUUUGCUAAAAGCAGACUGAACAAUCGAAAGAUGUUUUUUUAAAUAAAUGAUUGUAUGUUGACAUACAAACUUUCUUAUGUUGACAUAGCAAAUUUC